CUACAUGAAGUUGGAAUUGCUAGUAAUCGCAGAUCAGAAUGCUGCGGUGAAUACGUUCCCGGGCCUUGUACACACCGCCCGUCACACCAUGGGAGCCGGUAAUACCCGAAGUCAGUAGUCUAACCGCAAGGGGGACGCUGCCGAAGGUAGGAUUGGCGACUGGGGUGAAGUCGUAACAAGGUAUC
rnacentral:rRNA from 1 species